rnacentral:tRNA from 1 species
GCGGGAAUGCCCGAGCGGUCGAAAGGACUCGGUUCAAGAUCGAGAGUCGUAGGACACAGCGGAAGUUCGAAUCUUCCUUCCCGUAUCA